GUGAGAGGUCUGGAGCGAGGGCCAUGUCCUUUCUCUCCUGUUCACUCUCUCUGCAAAUGGACUGCACCUCUAUGGUUAUUUCAGCUCCAGUGGGCAGAGGGAGCUUAACAGAAGAUGGAGCCAUGAAUUUAGUUCUGAGCUUUCUGACCACUGAGGCAAAACCAUGCAUCCCUAAGAGAUGCCAGCCUCUGUCCACAGCCACUGCGGGUGUUGGGCUCCAGAGAAUGAGGAGAUGGCAAUUCAGUGCUUGCUGUGGUGCUGAACACAGAGCAAGCUGCUGAGGUGGGAGAGGGAGAGGAAGGACAGGGCUUUAACUUCCUCUGUCCCCACCCAUCCCCAGGAGCAGCAGAGGGUGGAGCUGCUUCGAAAGGCUGUGCAGGCCCACCGAGCCUACACCGACCGCGCCAUCCGAGGGGAGGCCUUUGACCGGCACUUGCUGGGUCUGAAGCUACAGGCCAUCGAGGACCUGGUGAGCAUGCCUGACAUCUUCAUGGAUACCUCCUACGCCAUUGCCAUGCACUUCAACC
rnacentral:lncRNA from 1 species